CAGCCGCCGCGGUAAUACCGGCGGCCCGAGUGGCGGUCACUAUUAUUGGGCUUAAAGCGUCCGUAGCCGGGGUGGGAAGUCCUCCGGGAAAUCUGGCCGCUUAACGGUCAGAAUGCCGGAGGAUACUCCCAGCCUAGGGAGCGGGAGAGGCCGAGGGGAUUCCCGGGGUAGGGGGGAAAUCCUAUAAUCCCGGGAGGACCACCUGUGGCGAAGGCGCUCGGCUGGAACGCGUCCGACGGUGAGGGACGAAGGCCAGGGGAGCAAACCGGAUUAGAUACCCGGGUAGUCCUGGCUGUAAACGAUGCGGACUUUGUGUCGGACAAGCUAUGAGCUUGUCCGGUGCCGGAGGGAAACCGUUAAGUCCGCCGCCUGGGGAGUACGGCCGCAAGGCUGAAACUUAAAGGAAUUGGCGGG
rnacentral:rRNA from 1 species